UCGCCUUCCUUUCCGCGACGGGGCGGAACUUUCCCCCUCACGUUCUCUUCCCGUCGCAAAGGUCUUGUCCAUGGCGCCGGCUAGUUUCUAGUGGGAUUUCUCGGAGCGGUCUCGGAGCUGGGAUCGAGGGGACCACUCGGGUCGAAGGUGCCUCCUCGCGAUAAUCGGCCAAGCGAUGUGUGCCCUCCUCGAAGCUCAGUGCCGAGAAAAUGAAUCGCAGUCUGGAUCUGUCAUCCUCGUCGUCUUCGAUUCAAUCGACGCUUCUAGAUCCAAGCCAGCGAAGGUGAUUGCCUCCUCUUCCAUGCGAUUGGGUUCCUUUCUACAUUUCCCCAACCAUGCUACAUAUGUGAACCCUAACUGUUGGGGAACGUAUAGAAUCAUACCAUUUUUUCCAUGUAACGGCUUCAAAUGUAGGAUUAUUUCAGUUUUAUUUGGUUUUGAACCUACCAAACUUGUGUACCCAAGGUUUUAGUGGCAUGCAGUGCGACCAGAUUCAAUAUGGCAUCCAUUCUUGAAUUUUUGUGGUACUUCCAACUCGUUUAUGUGCUCUUUCUGAGUAAUAUGAG
rnacentral:lncRNA from 7 species